rnacentral:lncRNA from 1 species
GUCGUGGGCCCCGCGGGGACGGCGGCUGGCGGGCGCUCCCUGCUGCUACUGCUGCUGUUCAGCAACGAGGGGUGAUUACUGCUCUAAAGUUGGACAUUGGAGGAAGAUCCAUUAGGCCGUGUAAGUACUGAAGUAAGCAGAUAUCCAUGUGG